AGAAUCAACGCUGGCGGCGUGCCUAACACAUGCAAGUCGAACGAGAAAGUGGAGCAAUCCAUGAGUAAAGUGGCGCACGGGUGAGUAACACGUGACUAACCUACCCUUGAGUGGGGGAUAACCUAGGGAAACCUGGGCUAAUACCGCAUAAUACCUUCGGGUCAAAGGAGCAAUUCGCUUAAGGAGGGGGUCGCGGCCGAUUAGUUAGUUGGCGGGGUAAUGGCCCACCAAGACUGUGAUCGGUAUCCGGCCUGAGAGGGCGCACGGACACACUGGAACUGAAACACGGUCCAGACUCCUACGGGAGGCAGCAGUGGGGAAUUUUGCGCAAUGGGGGAAACCCUGACGCAGCAACGCCGCGUGGAGGAUGAAGUCUCUUGGGACGUAAACUCCUUUCGAUCGGGACGAUUAUGACGGUACCGGAAGAAGAAGCCCCGGCUAACUUCGUGCCAGCAGCCGC
rnacentral:rRNA from 1 species